rnacentral:rRNA from 1 species
AUUGAACGCUGGCGGCAUGCCUUACACAUGCAAGUCGAACGGCAGCACGGGGCAACCUGGUGGCGAGUGGCGAACGGGUGAGUAAUGCAUCGGAACGUACCUUUCAGUGGGGGAUAACGUAGCGAAAGUUACGCUAAUACCGCAUAUUCUGUGAGCAGGAAAGCCGGGGAUCGCAAGACCUUGCGCUGAUUGAGCGGCCGAUGUCAGAUUAGCUAGUUGGUGAGGUAAAGGCUCACCAAGGCGACGAUCUGUAGCGGGUCUGAGAGGAUGAUCCGCCACACUGGGACUGAGAUACGGUCCAGACUCCUACGGGAGGCAGCAGUGGGGAAUUUUGGACAAUGGGGGCAACCCUGAUUCAGCCAUGCCGCGUGAGUGAAGAAGGCCUUCGGGUUGUAAAGCUCUUUCGGUCGUGAAGAAAUCGCAUGGGUUAAUACCCUGUGCGGAUGACGGUACCGGCAUAAGAAGCACCGGCUAACUACGUGCCAGCCGCCGCCGUAAAAC